rnacentral:lncRNA from 1 species
AUGCAUAUGAAUACCAGGUCGCAACCUCUCCCCUGUAGAGGCAAUCUGCUGCUGCUGCUAAGUGUCCUUUGGUGGCUGAUUGCAGUUUCAAGGUUUAAGAAAUCCCAUCUUUCAGGAAGCCUGAGGGGAAGAAAGGAAGUACGGGCGAAAUCAUCAGAUUGGCUUCCCGGGUUUGGGAAUCUGAAGCGGGCCCGCAUCUUCCGGCCAACUUCCAUUGAACUUCCCAGCACUCGAAAGGGACCGAAAUGGAGAGCAAAGCAGGAGAAGUCAGCCCUUGAGCUGGAACCAGCUGUCCUGAGAAGAAACUGAGAGCUGGGGGAGAGUUUCAGAUCUUCAGGGUAGGGUGAGGUAUGCAAGCACCCUUAAGGAAAUGCUGUAACCAGAAAUGUAGACCCAGAAAAAGCACUUGUUUCUAUUAUUGCUAAUCAUAAUAGCUUUCUUUAAUAUAUUAGUUAUGUGUAUAAUGCAUUUUCCUAUCCCUUACCUCAUUGUCUCCUCUGCAAGCCUAUAUGGCCCUAUUGUUGAAAUGAUGUGUGUAAACCAGCAGCUCUGCAUCACCCAGGAGCUUAUUAGAAAUGCCUCAUCUAGAUCUAGUAGGCUAGAAUUUGCAUUUACUAAGACUCUAGCCUUUAAAAUUUAAGAAGCUUUGCAGUCGGUCCACGGGGCAAUCAUUUCUCCCUGUUA